GGGAGAGUAAGGGCUGGGUAAGACGGGUGCCAGCCGCCGCGGUAAUACCCGCAGCUCGAGUGGUGAUCGUUAUUAUUGGGCCUAAAGCGUCCGUAGCCGGCUCAGUAAAUCCUUGGGUAAAUCGGGCAGCUUAACUGUCCGACCUUCUGGGGAGACUGCUGAACUUGGAACUGGGAGAGGUCGGAGGUACUCCGGGGGUAGAGGUGAAAUUCUGUAAUCCCCGGGGGACCACCAGUGGCGAAGGCGUCCGACUUGAACGGGUUCGACGGUGAGGGACGAAGCCCUGGGGCACAAACCGGAUUAGAUACACGGGUAGUCCAGGGUGUAAACGCUGCGGGCUUGGUGUUGGGGGUCCUACGUGGGCGUCCAGUGCCGGAGAGAAGUUGUUAAGCCCGCCGCCUGGGAGUACGUCGCAAGAC
rnacentral:rRNA from 1 species